rnacentral:lncRNA from 1 species
GGCGACAACAUAACUACCCUCAUUCUUUCUCCCCACACAAGCAAGCUACCACGUAUAAGCGUACAUCUAUGUAUUGUUAACACGUUUAUAUAUCAAAUGGGCUCUCUCACUCACUGUCUUGAUGCUCUCGUAGUAGUGUAAUUUUUUUUUUAAAUUAGCGUUUUUUCGAUUUUGUUACUUUUUUUAUUAAACAUUGCCCCGUAAGGAUUUUUAGAUUCACCACUGCUGACCAGUGACGAGACUAGUCUUUUGUGUAUUGAGUUCUCAGGUUUGAUAUAUAACAUAAAUCAUAAAUGUAAUUUUUAAAAAUUCCCAAAAAAAAAAAAAAAAAACUCCACUGACCUUAUUCUCCGGAUCAACGCCAUUAGAAUCAAUCGAAUUCUGUUCAAUUCCAUGUUGCACCGGACUCGAAACCGGCACCGGUACCGGCACAGGCAUCGACACACUCACCGGCACAGCCGCUGAGUGAAUCAUCAUCGUCGUCGUCGUCGGAGGUGAAAUCGUUACAGGCGUCUGAUCAAACACGAUCAUAUUCAAAUUACUCGAAACCGGAACCGAAGACGACGCCGGAUCACCACCACUAGUCACCGGAACAGCAGUCCUCACCGGAGCAGCAGCACCACCACCACUGCCUCUCAACAACAGAUCCAGCCGAUGAAACAACGGCCACGACGACACGUCAGCAGUAGCAGACUCAGAACGGUACCGUUUCUUCAUAGACUCAAUUUUAUUCUUACACUGCGUUUGUGUUUUCGGUGACUUGCUUGAAUUGGCGCGUGACGACACGUGCUUAGCCACAUCUUCCCAAUCGUGACCUUUCAGCUUGGCUCUGUUGCGAAGCGUCCACUUGGCUUCGUAAGCCUCUAACAGGCUCGAAACGGCUCCUUCACUCCACUCAUCUCUCUUCAUCCUAUCAGCCCCGACGUUUGAGCCGGUGGCUGGAACGGUUGGAAGUUUCUUAGGGGAAUAUUGAUCAUGGUGAUCUUUGUGGUUUUCUUGCUUGAUUGGCCUCAUGCUAAAGUGGAGAGUAAUUAACUGCUAACAUGAAAGGUGAAGGUAGGGAGUGGAGGAGGGGGUAUGUGUCAUUUUUUUGCAGUGUUAGAUGGGAGACUAAUGAAAGGGAAAAAGCCACUAGCAUUUAGUUUUCUAAAAGGUGAAAUAAAAGGUGCUUUUGGUUAGAUUACCAAAUUCUUC